UUAAACAUAUUCAUAUGUAUUCAGGAAUUAUGUCUAAGAAGUUUGUAACUUGAUUGAGUUUAUCAUUUUUAUUUUUUCACACCUGGUUAGCAGGAGAGACUAGCAUUAAAACUCAAAAUGCCAAGAACCUGUGUGCUUUUUCUUAGGAACAAGAAGGAGAAAAGUGCAUUCCAGUGAGCUGCAUAACUGGUAAUGAAUCCUAGACGUCGAACUAACUGAGACAAGAAAGAGAAAAUGCAAACUGCACCGUGUCCCUGCAGCUUUUAGCACGGAACAAUUCCACCUGAGGCCAGUGAAAAGUGGUCCAAAUGCUUCAUGUUUACAAGUCUAGGGACAAGUUCCAGACAGUGGCUCACUGUCAUUUCUGUACAAAAGCAAGUAUAACCAUCCUGUGAUGUAGUCACUGAGGAAUGUCUGUGAUGCACUGAUGUGGCUUGGUCAGCUCCCAAAGUAAUACUGGAGAGGAUGGAGAGUUCUUAUGCCCGCCAGCAUCACUGCUUUGUUGAAAGACAAGGCUUACACUACAAAGACAAUUUAAGGACUACAGAAUUAAGAUCUUCAGUGAAAACUCCUUGAACCCAAGCACUCAGGAUGAAACAUGAAGGGACACGAGUCCUUUGAGGAUGUUAUGGUUGAUGAAAUGUGUCAACUUUAGAAGUUUAACUAAGAGACUCACCAGGGGAUCAAAGAUUCUUACUUUAUAAACACUUUCAUCCUGUGCAAGAGGAGGCCAGGAGAUUUUAUGAGUGAGAUAUUUUGUCUCAGCAACAAAAGAAAACAAAACAGAAUUUGGUUCCAGAGGAGUUGGGUUAUGCAGUGAUGAUACCUGACCAUAUGGUUCAAGAGCCUUUGGGAAAGGCUUAUGGUAAGAAUUUGGAAAGGUUUGGAAAUAUCACCUGAUACAGUAAUGUUGAAACACUUUAGGCUGCUCUGUAUGGGAGAUUCUGGUUCAAAUCUCAGAAGACCAGAAAACUAGUAAAAACCAAGCUAUGAAAAGAUAUCUUCUGGGAAGGAUUGCAUUGUUUGUUGGACUCCAGAUAAUGUGUAUUGUGGUUUGGUAGAAAGUUUGUCUGCAUUUUGCUUCUAUUCAGAGACUUUGCCUGAGACUGAGAUUGAAGGCAGAAGACUAAUUAAUCUGACAGAAGAAAUUUCAAGGCAAUCUAACGUUGAUGCAGUAGCAUGGCUAUUGUUGGUGGCUUUAGCCAGAUCUAUAUUGCAAACCAAGAGAAAAGAGCCCAACAGAAUGAUUUACAACACUGCAAAUUUGGCCAGAAAGGAAGUUCCAAUAAAACUCUGGACUGUAAAGAUAGAGCUGAGGAAAUCUUGAUUGCGAGAAGGAACCAGAAAAUGUAAAAGAUGGUUUGAAGUCAUCACAAAAAGUUGCAAAUCUCAAAUCUUUGCAGCCUCAAAACUGCAAAAAUGAAAGACCUUGCUUUGAGGCAAAAGCUGCAGAGUACCAUGUGCCAGAAUAACAACAGCUAUAUCAUGUUCCAGAACGGUAGCAGUAUAAAAAUUUCUUUAGAAUUAGAUUCAGAGUGCCUAGCAAUACAGACACUUGACCCCUAUUGCCAAGAGAGAGGAAAGCCUGGCUACUGCUCCAGCUGGCACCAGCCCUUGGAUCAUCCAUGUGGUCCUGGUUUUAGAUACAUACAGAAUGCAAGAAUUCUGAGGUUAAAAUGGUUUAUACUUCAACUUCAGAAGGCCUAGGAGGCCAGACAGUGUGCCCCUGAGAAAGGAGCGUGUGAAACUGUGAGACUGAAAGCAAAGGUGCUGUGGGGACCCCAGAAGUUUGGAAAAGCCAGAAGCAUGGAUUAUCAAAGGAAAGUUGCAAAGGAGGGGAUUCUGUAACCACCAGAAGUGCUGCAGGGGUAGAGUCACCCAAGCCCUUUGGAGUUCACAGUUUUCCAGAUUGCCUCAAAUUAUGCACAGGGAACUCCAGGACUUAAUGUUUGCCCUUCUGGAUUUUAGACUUGCUUUGGUCCGGUUCCUUUGUAUCCCCCUAUUUAUACCCUUUGGAAUGGUAAUGUUUAUCUUGUGGCAUUGAAUGUUAGAAGUAUUUAACUUUGUUUUCAUUUGUACAGGGGCUUGAAGCUAACAGUUUGCCUAGUAUCUUGGAAGAGACUUAGGACUUGAACUUUUCAGCAAUGCUGAAAUUGUUAGGACUCUUACCAUUCUAAUGUAAUAUAAUUAAUGGACUUAUGCUGGUUCUUAAGGAUUGUUAAACCUGUGUUAUAAUGUUCAAGUUGUGAAAUGGCAAAAAUAAGGAUGUCUUUGUAUCUGGUUUAAAAGGCUGGUUUAAAAAAUAUGUGCAAUUGCCAAGUUGACAAGGGAGGAAUUGUAUGGUUGAUACAAUUGUGUCAACUUGAGAAGUUUAGAAGUUUUACUAAGAGACUCAUCAAGGAGCCAAGGUUCUUACUUGGUAAACGUCUUCAUCUUGUGCAAGAGGAGAGUAAGAAGAUUUUAUGAGUGCUACACUAGCCCUGGAGGGAAGGUGGUCUUUGUACAAGAUAAAGGAGGAAAAGAGAUUUGUUCCCCUCUCCCCCUUUAUAUUCUUGUUACCUUUAGUAUCUGCUGCCACCACGAACAGCCUGGGCCAUGCCACCCUGCCUUGGAGCCAGCUGAUUGUUAUCUGAAGCCUCACAAACUGUGAGCAUAAAUAAAUCUUUUCUUCUUUAAUUUGGGGUGUUGAUAUUUUGUCCCAGCAAUGAAAGAAAAGUAACCAACACAGAGAACAAGAAAAGUUCUUUCUUUGUCUAGAUCCUAGUAUAUAGCGGGUGCUCCAAAUAUAUUUUAUGAAAAGUUAGUGAAUAAACGUCUAAAAUAAUAACAGUUUGGGUUGGUUUCAAAAUGAAAACUCAAUACUCAUCAACUCAUUAUAAUUGAACAACUUAUGGCAAAAAUUUUUAUCGGAAUAUUUUGGAGAACUACUUCAAGAACAAGAAAAAGUAAAAAUAAAAAAACAAAAACUUGA